AUGUUCUGCUGUCCUUGUCUCUUGUGCAAACCUUCAGUUUUCGUGAUAAAUCCAAGGGAGCCAGGAGAGCAAGCACAACCCCUGCUCCGGAGGCCCUGCCCUGCCCGUGGCAUCCUCCGAGCAUGCUUUCCUCUGACCCGCUGGCUGCACCUGUCGAUUCCUCAAGCCGCCAUCCCCGCCCAGCCCCACUAUGUCCCUGUUCUGUUUAUUUCAGGACGCAGCUAUCUCUGUGGAGCAGGUGUGGGACACUCUCCCCGUGACAGUCUUGGGUGGACCUGUUGUCUGUCCUGUUUUACCCCCCACACCCCCCAAGAGGCCUCCCCGUGGCCACCACCGCCACUACCACUUCUCAAUGAUGUGGCUCAUGUAGUCCUCGGUGGGCACGCGGCCCGGCUCGUCAGCGUCCUCCCGCGGCAGCGCCUCCUUGGCCCGGUGCAGCAGGCGCUCCUCGCGGCUCCUCAGGCGCUGCUCCCUGCGCUCCAGCUGCCGCUUGUACUGGUAGCGCUGCUGGAAGAGGUCCUUGGCGUAGUCGUACAGCUGCAUGUCCAGGUCGUUGAGCUCCUCGAUGCGCCGGAUGGUGUCCUCGUCCACCUCCACGCCGCCCGCCCGCGUGCUGUUGUACUGCAUGAAGGGCCGGAUGAACUUGAGGUUGAACGUCCGCUCGAACAGGUACUGCGUCUUGCGCUGGAACUCGGUCAGGCCAAAGAAGGCCAUGCCCCGCAGGUUCUUCUUGGCGCUCUCAAGCAGCAGCUGGGCCCGCUUGCCCUCGGGGAUGAAGGACAGGUUGUAGCAGCCCACCAGGCUCAGGUCGGCCAGCAUGCGCACCUGGCGGUUGUUGGCCAGGUUGUACGGGCAGUCCAUGAACUCCUGCAGCGUGCAGCCCGACCAGUCCGUGCCCUCGUAGCAGGGCGGCAGCUCCUCGGGCGUGGGCGUGCGUCCGUCACACAUGUGCAACGACGUCUUCCACGUGGCACCCCUCUGCACGUGCCGCCACUCACUCAGGUAGCGGGACACGGGGUCUCGUAG
ensembl:lncRNA